rnacentral:rRNA from 1 species
AUGAGUAUUCUUAGUUGGAACUGCCGGGGCCUAGGACAGCCCCGGACAAUUCAAGAGUUGGUGUGCCUUGUGCAUACCUACCGCCCCAAGAUCGUCUUCUUGCCCGAAACAAGGCAAUGCGAAGAGAAAGUGAGAAGAAUAAGAUGGAGAAUAGGCCUGACGCACUGCUUUACUCAUGACGGUAAGGGAAAAGGUGGAGGCAUUGCUUUGUACUGGGAUGAUCAAAUAAAUUGGCGGGGAACUUUUGUUUAUGGGGAGCCCAGAUCUCAAGAUAGACAUCAUAUGCAGAUUUUGCUAAAAAGGAUCAGACCAAAUGCCAAUGAGCCUUGGAUGAUGAUCGGCGACUUUAAUGAGACGAUGUGGCAAUCUGAACAUUUUUCAGGUACUAGAAGAUCUGAAGCUCAAAUGGCUAGAUUUAGAAGUAUGUUAUCAUACUGUAAUCUUCAUGACCUGGGGUUCAGGGGCCAACCUUGGAUUUAUGAUAAAUAA